rnacentral:rRNA from 1 species
CCCUUAGAUGGUCUGGGCGGCACGCGCGCUACAAUGAUGCAUUCAAAAAGUCUUCUGACCUUAGAAGGUUGGGUAUUCUCCAAAGUACAUCGUGAUGGGAAUAGUUUAUUGCAAUUUUUAAUCUUGAACGAGGAAUUCCUAGUAAGUACAGGUCAUCAACUUGUGUUGAUUACGUCCCUGCCCUUUGUACACACCGCCCGUCGCUCCUACUGAUUGAAUGUUCCGGUGAGCUCUUCGGACUGCGCGGUCUGCAGUUUCUGCGUUCCGUGCGGAAAGUUGCGCAAACCUUAACAUUUAGAGGAAGGAGAAGUCGUAACA